rnacentral:misc_RNA from 1 species
AUUGUUUCGAACGACAGCUUUCUUAUUUAGUUGAGAAAGCUGGCGGAUCGGUAUUGAGGGUCUUGCCAUCUUCCACGGUGGCUCCCUCGAAAUGCAUUAGCGCAUCCAUUCGAUAGGCAAGACGGACGAAAGCUCGUUAUUUCGCCCACGUCUUUCCCUGCCGGGUUUUGAUAAUAUCAGGACUUCGGAGGCGGAGAAAGGGUUAGAGCUGGACGCAACGACUUUUGCUGGUUGGAGUGCUUCUGAACCCCGCCCAUGCCUCGCUUCUUUGGAAGAGAGGAAGGGAUUUAAUUUCAAUU